rnacentral:rRNA from 1 species
UAGGGAAUCUUCGGCAAUGGGGGGAACCCUGACCGAGCAACGCCGCGUGAGUGAAGAAGGUUUUCGGAUCGUAAAGCUCUGUUGUUAAGGAAGAACGAGUGUGAGAAUGGAAAGUUCAUGCUGUGACGGUACUUAACCAGAAAGGGACGGCUAACUACGUGCCAGCAGCCGCGGUAAUACGUAGGUCCCGAGCGUUGUCCGGAUUUAUUGGGCGUAAAGCGAGCGCAGGCGGUUAGAAAAGUCUGAAGUGAAAGGCAGUGGCUCAACCAUUGUAGGCUUUGGAAACUGUUUAACUUGAGUGCAGAAGGGGAGGGUGGAAUUCCAUGUGUAGCGGUGAAAUGCGUAGAUAUAUGGAGGAACACCAGUGGCGAAGGCGACUCUCUGGUCUGUAACUGACGCUGAGGCUCGAAAGCGUGGGUAGCAAACAGG